rnacentral:sRNA from 1 species
GCCGGGCGUGGUGGCCCACCCUUGUAAUCCCAGCAACUCAAGAGGCUGAGGCAGGAGGAUCACAAGUUCAAAGCCAGCCACAACUUAGCAAGACCCUGCCUCAA